AGGUUGAUAUCAAUAAAAUGAAGAAAAAAUAUUACUCCUAAGAAGAAUGUCUUAAUUUGAGAGAAGUUAAGUCACUAAAAAAAUGAAACAUCCGAAUAUCGUAAAACUUGCGGAAGUCAUUAGAGUGAACGGUGUAUUGGUACCACCAAAUGGAUAUGGUCAUGAACUAGACAAGUUUUCGAUUGGUACAAAAGUUAAAAUUGUGUUGAAUGAAGACGUUGAAUGGUGAUUUAUUCAGGUACAAUGAAACAAUUAAGCAACAUACUAUUAAUUGUUGCAAUGCUGUAUUUUUUUUUUCCUGUUUCAUUGUUUCAUUACGACUAUUAUUGUCUAACAAAUAG